AGCAUGGCGAUUCGACCUUUGCUUCUGUUUUUGGUUUUGUUAAUUUUGUUCUCACUCCCUUGUUUUAAUUUGGAGUGCAUUUUGGUGCUUUUUUGUGUUUGGCUUUGCUUUGGUUUGUUUUAAGCGCGAAGCUUGGUGACAGUUUCGCAGGGAGGCAAUUUCUUGUCCGACG
rnacentral:ribozyme from 1 species